rnacentral:rRNA from 1 species
UACGUAGGGCGCAGGCGUUAUCCGGAAUUAUUGGGCGUAAAGAGCUCGUAGGCGGUUUGUCGCGUCUGCCGUGAAAGUCCGGGGCUCAACUCCGGAUCUGCGGUGGGUACGGGCAGACUAGAGUGAUGUAGGGGAGACUGGAAUUCCUGGUGUAGCGGUGAAAUGCGCAGAUAUCAGGAGGAACACCGAUGGCGAAGGCAGGUCUCUGGGCAUUAACUGACGCUGAGGAGCGAAAGCAUGGGGAGCGAACAGG